CCUACGGGUGGCAGCAGUGAGGGAUAUUGCACAAUGGGGGGAAGCCUGAUGCAGCGAAGCCGCGUGGGUGAAGAAGCGCCUAGGCGCGUUAAGCCCUGUCAGCCGGGGAGCAAAUGCCGGUACCUGAAGCCGAAGCCCCGGCUCACUACGUACCAGCAGCCGCGGUAAUACGUGGGGGGGCAGCGGUAUCCGGAUUUACUGGGUGUAAAGCGGGCGCAGGCGGGGAUGCAAGCCAGGAGGGAAAGCCCGGGGCCCAACCCCGGGACUGCCCUUGGAAAUGCGUGGCUUGAGUGCAGGAGGGGCAUGCGGAAGGCGUGGUGUAGCGGUGAAAUGCGUAGAUAUCAGGAGGAACACCGGUGGCGAAGGCGGCCUGCUGGACUGCAACUGACGUUGAGGCCCGAAAGCGUGGGGAGCGAACAGGAUUAGAUACCCUAGUAGUC
rnacentral:rRNA from 1 species